rfam:Leptotrichia goodfellowii F0264 contig00088, whole genome shotgun sequence.
AAAAUGAAAAAAGCGCCUGAUCUUUCAAAAUGAAAGAUGACGAGGGAAAAGAGUUAUCGAAAAAAUCGGCGGAUGCUCUUUAGGUUAUCACAACCUUAACGGUAUACAAAAGUUAUAAGCGAUUAUAAAAAUAAAAUUACCGUAGUGAUUAUUU